rnacentral:misc_RNA from 1 species
UUGAUAAGCGUGAGGUCGGAGGUUCAAGUCCUCCCAGGCCCACCAUUUUGUAUCAAUCUAUAAGCGCUUGUAGAACUUUUUUCUAUAAGGCUUUCUUUUAUACUUACAUGAAGCUUAUCUACGAAGAAGUUUCCUUAUCAAAAUGUGAAGUUUCUUUCCUUUGCUUAAGCAAUCGAGAGUUAAAGCGGUUCAAACAAACAGUGAUCCCAUAAAGGGUAAUGUUGAAUUGAAAAAUCUUAUUUACAAAUUUUGAACCUUCUCUCUUUAUUUAGGGGCCGUAGCUCAGCUGGGA